ACCAAGGCUUUGACGGGUAGCCGGCCUGAGAGGGUGACCGGCCACAUUGGGACUGAGAUACGGCCCAGACUCCUACGGGAGGCAGCAGUGGGGAAUAUUGCACAAUGGGCGGAAGCCUGAUGCAGCAACGCCGCGUGCGGGAUGACGGCCUUCGGGUUGUAAACCGCUUUCGCCUGUGACGAAGCGUGAGUGACGGUAAUGGGUAAAGAAGCACCGGCUAACUACGUGCCAGCAGCCGCGGUGAUACGUAGGGUGCGAGCGUUGUCCGGAUUUAUUGGGCGUAAAGGGCUCGUAGGUGGUUGAUCGCGUCGGAAGUGUAAUCUUGGGGCUUAACCCUGAGCGUGCUUUCGAUACGGGUUGACUUGAGGAAGGUAGGGGAGAAUGGAAUUCCUGGUGGAGCGGUGGAACGCGCAGAUAUCAGGAGGAACACCAGUGGCGAAGGCGGUUCUCUGGGCCUUUCCUGACGCUGAGGAGCGAAAGCGUGGGGAGCGAACAGGCUUAGAUACCCUGGUAGUCCACGCUGUAAACGGUGGGUACUAGGUGUGGGGUCCAUUCCACGGGUUCCGCGCCGUAGCUAACGCUUUAAGUACCCCGCCUGGGGAGUACGG
rnacentral:rRNA from 1 species